rnacentral:rRNA from 1 species
GAUGAACGCUGGCGGCGUGCUUAACACAUGCAAGUCGAACGAUGAAGCCCAGCUUGCUGGGUGGUUUAGUGGCGAACGGGUGAGUAACACGUGAGUAACCUCCUCUUAACUCUGGGAUAGGCCUGGGACACUCGGUCUAAUACCGGAUAUGAGCGUCCACCGCGUGGUGGGUGUUGGAAAGAUUUGGCGGUUUUGGAUGGACGCGCGGCCUAUCUGCUUGUUGGUGUGGUGGUGGCUCACCAAGACGAUGACGGGUAGCCGGCACGAGAGGGUGAACGGCCACACGGGGACUGAGAGACGGCCCAGAGUCCUACGGGAGGCAGCAGGGGGGAAUAUUGCACAAUGGGCGCAAGCCUGAGGCAGCGACGCCGCGUGAGGGAUGACGGCCUUCGGGUUGGAAACCUCUUUCAGUAGGGAAGAAGCGAAAGUGACGGUACCUGCAGAAGAAGCACCGGCUAACUACGUG